UGCGAUCGAACGUACCCUGAGGUGGGGGAUAGGGUGGCGAAAGUCACCAUAAUACCCCAUGAUCUCUAAGGAGCAAAGGUUUACCGCCUUGGGAGCGGCGAUCGUCCUAUCAGCUAGUUGGCGGGGUAAAAGCCCACCAAGGCUAAGACGGGUAGCGGGUGUGAGAGCACGGCCCGCGACAUCGAAACUGAGACACUGUUCGGACUCCUACGGGAGGCUGCAGUAACGAAUCUUCCGCAAUGGGCGAAAGCCUGACGGAGCAAUGCCGCGUGUGGGAUGAAGCGUCUAUGACGUGUAAACCACUGUCAGGGAAUAGAAACAAUGAUCGUUCCCAAAGGAAGUGGCGACUAACUCUGUGCCAGCAGUCGCGGUAAUACAGAGGCCACAAGCGUUAGUCGGAAUCACUGGGCUUAAAGGGUGCGUAGGUGGCCCACCAAGUGUCUUGUGAAAUACCUUAGCUCAACUAAGGAACAGCAGGGCAUACUGGUGGGCUCGAGGCAGGUAAGGGUCGCUGGAACAAUAGGUGGAGCGGUGAAAUGCGUAGAUAUCUAUUGGAACGCCGAUGGUGAAGACGAGCGACUGGGCCUGACCUGACACUGAGGCACGAAAGCGUGGGGAGCAAACAGGAUUAGAUACCCUGGUAGUCCACGCCGUAAACGAUGCGCACUAGACUGGUGCGGUUUUGACGCCGUAUCAGUCGUAGUAAAAACGAUAAGUGCGCCGCCUGGGGAGUACGGUCGCAAGGCUAAAACUCAAAUGAAUUGACGGGGGCUCACACAAGCGGUGGAGCAUGUUGCUUAAUUCGAGGCAACGCGAAGAACCUUACCUGGGUUUGACAUGUACGUAUUAACCCCAUGAAAGUGGGGCCACAGUCGCAAGACCGGAACGUGCACAGGUGCUGCAUGGCUGUCGUCAGCUCGUGCUGUGAAGUGUCAGGUUAAGUCCUUUAACGAGCGCAACCCCUAUCGUUAGUUGCUCGGCGCAAGCCAGUACUCUAGCGAGACUGCCGGUGUCAAACCGGAGGAAGGUGGGGAUGACGUCAAGUCCUCAUGGCCCUUACAUCCAGGGUUGCAAACGUGCUACAAUGGUGCAUACAGAGCGAAGCAAGAGCGCAAGCUGGAGCAAAUCGCAAAAAGUGCACCCCAGUUCGGAUUGUCGGCUGCAACUCGCCGGCAUGAAGUCGGAAUCGCUAGUAAUCGGGGAUCAGCUACGCCCCGGUGAAUGAGUUCCUGAGCCUUGUACACACCGCCCGUCACGUCAUGGGAGCCGAGAGUGCCCGAAGUCGCUGCAUUUCAGCAGUGCCCACGGCAAGAUCGGUGACUGGGACGAAGUCGUAACAAGGUA
rnacentral:rRNA from 1 species